rnacentral:rRNA from 1 species
UACGUAGGGUGCAAGCAUUAAUCGGAAUUAUUGGGCGUAAAGGGCGCGUAGGCGGAUUGAUAAGUCAGAUGUGAAAUACCAAGGCUCAACCUUGGUGCUGCAUUUGAAACUAUUUUUCUAGAGGAUUGACGGAGAAAGGGGAAUUCCACGAGUAGCGGUGAAAUGCGCAGAUAUCAGGAGGAACACCAGUGGCGAAAGCGGCCACCUGGACUGUACCUGACGCUCAAACACGAAAGCCUAGGGGGAGCGAACGGG